GCGGGGCAACCCGCAAGUAGAGUGGCGAACGGGUGAGUAAUACAUCGGAACGUGUCCAGUAGCGGGGGAUAACCUCUCGAAAGAGAGGCUAAUACCGCAUACGACCUACGGGUGAAAGAGGGGGAUCGCAAGACCUCUCACUAUUGGAGCGGCCGAUGUCGGAUUAGCUAGUUGGCGGGGUAACGGCCCACCAAGGCUACGAUCCGUAGCUGGUCUGAGAGGACGGCCAGCCACACUGGAACUGAGACACGGUCCAGACUCCUACGGGAGGCAGCAGUGGGGAAUUUUGGACAAUGGGCGCAAGCCUGAUCCAGCCAUGCCGCGUGAGUGAAGAAGGCCUUCGGGUUGUAAAGCUCUUUCGGCGGGGACGAAAUGGUCCGUAUUAACACCACGGAUCUCUGACGGUACCCGUAGAAGAAGCACCGGCUAACUACGUGCCAGCAGCCGCGGUAAUACGUAGGGUGCAGGCGUUAAUCGGAAUUACUGGGCGUAAAGCGUGCGCAGGCGGUCUCUUAAGACAGGUGUGAAAUCCCCGGGCUUAACCUGGGAACUGCGCUUGUAACUGAGAGGCUUGAGUGUGCCAGAGGGGGGUGGAAUUCCACGUGUAGCAGUGAAAUGCGUAGAGAUGUGGAGGAACACCGAUGGCGAAGGCAGCCCCCUGGGGUAACACUGACGCUCAUGCACGAAAGCGUGGGGAGCAAACAGGAUUAGAUACCCUGGUAGUCCACGCCCUAAACUAUGUCAACUGGUUGUCGGGGAAGCAAUUCCUUGGUAACGAAGCUAACGCGUGAAGUUGACCGCCUGGGGAGUACGGCCGCAAGGUUAAAACUC
rnacentral:rRNA from 1 species